UACGGAGGGAGCUAGCGUUGUUCGGAAUUACUGGGCGUAAAGCGCGCGUAGGCGGCUUUGUAAGUUAGAGGUGAAAGCCCGGGGCUCAACCCCGGAACUGCCUUUAAGACUGCAUCGCUUGAAUCCGGGAGAGGUGAGUGGAAUUCCGAGUGUAGAGGUGAAAAUUCGUAGAUAUUCGGAAGAACACCAGUGGCGAAGGCGGCUCACUGGACCGGUAUUGACGCUGAGGUGCGAAAGCGUGGGGAGCAAACAGG
rnacentral:rRNA from 1 species